rfam:Eubacterium cellulosolvens 6 chromosome, whole genome shotgun sequence.
GAAAGGCCGACACAAUGUUGGCGGCUGGAUGCAUAUACCUGCAUCCCAUUUAAG